ACUCCUACGGGAGGCAGCAGUGGGGAAUAUUGCACAAUGGGCGCAAGCCUGAUGCAGCCAUGCCGCGUGUAUGAAGAAGGCCUUCGGGUUGUAAAGUACUUUCAGCAGUGAGGAAGGUGGGUAUGUUAAUAGCAUACUCAUUUGACGUUAGCUGCAGAAGAAGCACCGGCUAACUCCGUGCCAGCAGCCGCGGUAAUACGGAGGGUGCGAGCGUUAAUCGGAAUUACUGGGCGUAAAGCGCAUGCAGGUGGUUUGUUAAGUCAGAUGUGAAAGCCCGGGGCUCAACCUCGGAAUUGCAUUUGAAACUGGCAAACUAGAGUACUGUAGAGGGGGGUAGAAUUUCAGGUGUAGCGGUGAAAUGCGUAGAGAUCUGAAGGAAUACCGGUGGCGAAGGCGGCCCCCUGGACAGAUACUGACACUCAGAUGCGAAAGCGUGGGGAGCAAACAGGAUUAGAUACCCUGGUAGGCGCUGC
rnacentral:rRNA from 1 species